UUUCCGUAGGUGAACCUGCGGAAGGAUCAUUAAUGAGUUGUCAUGGGGUUCGAUGCUGGCAGCCAGUUUUUGGAUGCAUGUGCUUGCCCUAACAAUCAUCUUCUUCCAAACACCUGUGCACAUUUUUGAGGGAGUCUUGAGUUGGUUGCCGCUCUUGGGUGAUUUUCUCACAUUCCCUUAAAUCAUUAUACGCUAUUAACAAUGUUGAACGUGCUCUGUGCUGCAAGGCCAUUAAUAUAAUACAACUUUUAACAACGGAUCUCUUGGCUCUC
rnacentral:misc_RNA from 1 species